UGUCGCUUUUUCUACGACGUCUUUCAUUUAUAUAUACUGAAGACGAUAACAAGUGUUUAUCUAUAUUCCUGUCUUUAUAAAUAUUUAUACCGUAAAGUCAAGUUAAUUAUUUUACUUUUAAAUUAGAAAUUAAUUAUGUUAGAUGUCUUUUGAUGAUGAUCUAGUCUGUAAGCUUUGCAACCUGUCCUUUAAAAGAGCAGAGGAGCUUUUUGAUCACGCGAAGACUCACUUUGAAUGCAAUAAAAAUUCUUCAAAAGCUUCGUCAAUCUCUUCUGAUCAUUUCCCCUGAAAGGAUUGUAAGGGUUUACUGCUGACUGUCGGUGACCUAUUUGAACAUUCUUGUCUUCAUGUUUUGGUAGGAGUUUAAUUCAUAUGAGGAGGUUCCUGAGGAAGAUGGAUAAAAGAAGUUGAGGAAGAAGGUAUAUCAUAAGCCUCUUUUCCAUCGUAGUUGUCCUUUAUAUGACCAAAAAUAAGAGAACUGAAUGUCUCCUUCUCGGAUGAAUAUAAAGUUUGUAGGGAUUUGGCGUCUCUUUUUAAGAUAAGAGGUUCGAGGACGAAGAAUGCUCUCCAAAAGGAAUGAAAUUACGCAUCAAUAUGCCUAAAGGCAUAACUUUUUGCUCAAAUUUUUAGCAAAUUUGCGUAUUCCCUAUUUCAAGAAAACAAUUGUUUACCUAUAGACAUGAAAUCAAGAGAGCUAAAAGCAUCUUUUCAGGAUAAUUAUUUCAGAAUUAGUGAAGUUUGACCUCCGUGUUUCCUUGAAGUGAUCCACUUGCUCCCAUUGUUUGCCAAUAUAUCUUCUGCAUCUUCGUUUUCGGUACCAACUUUACCCAUGGGUUUUGAUAGGUGGCAUACACGGAGAUCCUCUUAUAAUCUACAAAUAAAUAAUUUUUCCAGAGAAAAUUGACCUUAAAUGUGUUCUUAUACAAGGAUCUUGCGAUACAUGGUGUGACUGUAUAAUGUUUAAACAUAAAUUCAAAUUACUAAUAAAUACAGUAAAUAGUUAUGAACUAUAUAUCCAAGUUAAUAAAAAGUAAAGGAACACACCAUUAAUAGCAAACCACUUAAGAAAUAAAUUUAAAUUGCCCAUUAUCGA
rnacentral:lncRNA from 1 species